UCAUGCACCACUACCAGUUGAAGCUGCCAGCAUGAUCUUAACUUCCCUCCAUGGUGGGGAAAGAUCAGAUCAUGUGGCAGUUUCACCUUGUUGUUGGUUGCAUGA
rnacentral:pre_miRNA from 1 species